rnacentral:rRNA from 1 species
GGGGGAAAAAUUAAUAAAAAAAUAAAUAUAAAAAAAAUUUUUAAUAUAAAUAUUUAAUGGGGGUUAAAGUAUUUUAUAGAAAAAAAUUAAAAAAUUUAUAGUUAAAUAGUAUUGUGAAAGAAAUUUGAAAAAUUUUGAAAUAAAAAUUUAUAAAAAAGUAAAUUUUAUUUAUUGUAUCUUGGGUAUCAGAGUUUAUUUAAAUAUAAUUUUAUAAAAAAUUAUUUCGAAUUUAAAAGAGUUAAUUAAUUAAAAAAUUUAAUAUUAUAUAAUUAUUUUAAAUAAUUAAUUAGAAAUGAAAAGUUAAUCGUUUUUAAAUAUAUCUAAUUUUUUUGGAAAAAAAUUUAAUUUUAAAUUAAUUUAAUUUAAUAAUUAAUUAAUUGAUUAUUAUUAGUUUUAAUUAAAUAUUUUAAGGGAUAAGCUUUAAAUUAAAAUAUUAUAAAUAAUUAUUAAUAAAAUUGAAAAUUUUAAAAUUUAUAUUUUUUAAAAAUUAUAAUUUAUUAUAAAUAAUUUCAUUUAAUUAAAAUUUAAUAUUUAUUUAAUUUUUUACAAAAAUAUAAUUUUUAAUAAUAAAAAAUUAGAAAUAAUGAUAAAAUUAGUAUAUAGAGUUAAUAAAUUUUUAAUAAAUUAUAGAAAUUAAUAAAAAAGAAUUCGGCAAAAAUUUAUAUUCACUUGUUUAUCAAAAACAUGUCUUUUUGAUAAUAAUUUAAAGUCUAAUCUGCCCACUGAAAAAUUUAAAGGGCUGCAGUAUAUUGACUGUACAAAGGUAGCAUAAUAAUUAGUCUUUUAAUUGAAGACUUGUAUGAAUGAUUUGAUGAAAUAUAGACUGUUUCUUUAUUAAUAAUAGAAUUUAAUUUUUUAGUUAAAAAGCUAAAAUUUUUUUAAAAGACGAGAAGACCCUAUAGAGUUUAAUUUUUUAAUUUUUGUAAUUAUUUUAUAAAAUUUAUAAUUUAUAAAAAUUAAAAAAUUUUGUUGGGGUGAUAGAAAAAUUUAAUUAACUUUUUUUAAAAAUUUAACAUUAAUGUAUGAAUUUAUGAUCCAUAAUUUAUGAUUAAAAGAUUAAAUUACCUUAGGGAUAACAGCGUAAUUUUUUUUUUUAGUUCAAAUAAAAAUUAAAGUUUGCGACCUCGAUGUUGGAUUAAGAUAAAAUUUAAAUGCAAAAGUUUAAAAUUUUGAUCUGUUCGAUCAUUAAAAUCUUACAUGAUCUGAGUUCAAACCGGUGUAAGCCAGGUUGGUUUCUAUCUUUAUAUAAAUAAAAUAAUUUAGUACCAAAGGAUCAAUUAUUUUAAAUAAUUUAAUUAAAAAGAAUAUUAAAAAUUUUUUUUU